AUUGGAAUUUAUAGCGGGCAAGGAGAAGAUAGUCAAUGCCUUUACAGAGCCACAGCUGAUGAUGGCGUCGGUACCUCCCGCCAAGACACACGGUUGGCCUCACUGGAGUGCCGUUAUAUUUUCAGCCUGUAUAGAGGUGACAGUGCCGUGACAGAGGUGGUGGAGGUUAUUAAUGCACCAAGGAACAGGUGUGUAAGGUGUGGCAGUGGUGUUGGUAAGGGAUUAGUGUGUAAGGAGGGAAAGAAGUGUGGUGGGCCGAGUGCGUGUCAACAAACUUAGUGGUGAUGGCCGUGUGGUAUUUGGUGUUGCUUAUACACCCCAUAAACACACUCAAAUACCCCGCAACACAUCCACAACAUGCCCAUAUACACUCAAACACACAAAGUGAAGUGAUGACAUUCCCGACAGCACCAGCGGCGAGACAAGAGAGCAAUGCAAAUCUUCACCGCAACGCCUCACCAUCAUUUAUUUCAGGCUCAGGCGUGUAGAUGGAAGCAGUAGAAAAAAGAAAGAAGGAGAAUGAAGAAGAAAAGGAAGAAUGGAAAUGGAAGAAGAGGAGGAGCCAAGCCACAAUAUUUAGCUGAGGUGGGCCUCCGCUGUGGCCAGGCAGUUCAGCCUUGCCGUCAACCCUCUAUGUGAUGAGUGAGUUGCCGGUUGAGCUGGAGUGUCCUGGUAUUGGGGGCUCGUGUGGUAUUGUAGACAACCAUCUGUGUAACCUUUUCGUGAAGAGGUCCGGUGUGACCCGUCAGGUUCCUGAUGGUGUCCGGCACAGCGUUGAAGAGGUCCGCAGAAAACGACACGCCAAUUUAUUUGAAGUCAAGGACGGAGAUUAAAACGGCCUUGAAAACCACCACACCUGUUUUGUCCACCGCCAUCACCACCUUCUCCUAGAUCAAGGACAAAGUGUAUUACAGACUCACACAAAAGGAAGAGGCCAUGAGGGAGGCAGGGGGGGGUUCAGCACGCUAUCAGUUCAUGCUUGGGAUGGGACACACUGGGACAGCCUGGGACCGUUGGUGGGAGCAAGACAAGGCUGUGGCAAUUCUGCGGAGCUUUGCCACUCAGACCUGUUGCCAUGUUACUAUUAUUGCACAUCCUAAGAAGGCAUGUGUAUGUGUGCAUAUGUGUGUUUACCUAGUUGUAUUUACCUAGUAGUAUUGUACAUGGUUCGAGCGGGCCUCAUAGCGUCCUGUCUCCAUGUCUUCAUUUA